GGGUUGUCACACCAGUUCCCAUUCCGAACACUGAAGUUAAGGGCCCCAUCGCCGAGGGUAGUGCGUCGCUCGGACGUGCGAGAGUAGGACGCCGCCGGCA
rnacentral:rRNA from 1 species